rnacentral:lncRNA from 1 species
CUGAGACAUUGCCAAUUUCUGUAGACGAGACAAGUCCUGAUCACGCUGAGGAUGGCUUGGGUAGUUUCAAGUUUGGUAGUAGUAAUCCCUUGGAACAACUAGGGUUAUAUAUGAAAGUUGAUGAUGAAGAGGAGGAAGCAGAGCCACCUGCAGUUCCAAAUCCUGUAAAAGAUGUAGAAGAGGAGGAAGCAAAGCCACCCUCAGUUCCAAAUCCUGUAAAAGAUGUAGAAGAGGGAGAGAUUGAUGGCUUGGGUAGUUUCAAGUUUGGCAGUAGUAAUCCCUUGGAACAACUAGGGUUAUAUAUGAAAGUUGAUGAUGAAGAGGAGGAAGCAGUGCCACCCUCAGUUCCAAAUCCUGUAAAAGAUGUUGAAGAGGAGGAAGCAAAGCCACCCUCAGUUCCAAAUCCUGUAAAAGAUGUAGAAGAUGGAGAGAUUGAUGGCUUGGGUAGUUUCAAGUUUGGUAGUAGUAAUCCCUUGGAACAACUAGAGUUAUAUAUGAAAGUUGAUGAUGAAGAGGAGGAAGCAGCGCCACCCUCAGUUCCAAAUCCUGUAAAAGAUGUAGAAGAGGAGGAAGCAAAGCCACCCUCAGUUCCAUAUCCUGUAAAAGAUGUAGAAGAUGGAGAGAUUGAUGGCUUGGGUAGUUUCAAGUUUGGUAGUAGUAAUCCCUUGGAACAACUAGAGUUAUAUAUGAAAGUUGAUGAUGAAGAGGAGGAAGCAGCGCCACCCUCAGUUCCAAAUCCUGUAAAAGAUGUAGUAGAGGAGGAAGCAAAGCCACCCUCAGUUCCAAAUCCUGUAAAAGAUGUAGAAGAUGGAGAGAUUGAUGGCUUGGGUAGUUUCAAGUUUGGCAGUAGUAAUCCCUUGGAACAACUAGGGUUAUAUAUGAAAGUUGAUGAUGAAGAGGAGGAAGCAGAGCCACCCUCAGUUCCAAAUCCUGUAAAAGAUGUAGAAAAGGGAGAGAUUGAUUAAGCUAUGCACAUUUUGUAUCACAAUUAAGUAGUAAAUUAUAUAUAGUUAUGUCCACCCCACAAAAAUAUCCACAUGUAUUUUAGUUCUCGUGAUGCGUU